rnacentral:rRNA from 1 species
UACGGGGGGUGCAAGCGUUAUUCGGAAUCAUUGGGCGUAAAGAGCGUGUAGGCGGCCGGUUAAGUCAGGUGUGAAAGCCCGGGGCUCAACCUCGGAAGUGCACUUGAAACUGGUCGGCUUGAGUUCGGGAGAGGGAAGCGGAAUUCCUGGUGUAGAGGUGAAAUUCGUAGAUAUCAGGAGGAACACCGGUGGCGAAGGCGGCUUCCUGGACCGAAACUGACGCUGAGACGCGACAGCGUGGGGAGCAAACAGG